rnacentral:lncRNA from 1 species
CCCUUCCCCACAGGAGACCGAGAGCGUGGAAAAUCGUCUUAUGAAGAAACCCUUCCUUUGAUGUCACAUUCUUGUAUUUGUCAAUAUUUGCUCACAUACUACCAAAGUCAAAAUUGCUCAUAAAACAAGUAUGUGGCCCUGCUGGCCUGGAGUUCACCUCUGCUCAGAUAUUUGGAUCACAGUAUGUAUGUGGGCUCAAAGGACAAAUUUCAGGGAUCUAUUCUCUCCUUCCUCCCUGUAGGUUCCGGGGAUCUGACUUAGGUUGCCAGGCUUGGCAGCAGGCACCUUUACCCACCUAGCCAUCUGCAUGAUCAUUUUGAAGGUAAAGGCAAAAAGAAACGGGUUAUGGUCCCCUGAAAGCAUCAUGGAAUCUAAAUCAAGAGGACAACAAAGCAAGUGAUCUUGGUGUCCAGCAAAAGGCAGCAUCUGUUUUCAAGCUCCUGGACUGCAAGGAGAGCUAUGGUAUAACAUUAUCUUGGCUACCACCACCCAACUGAGCAGAAGGCCACACGAAUCAGUCAGGAAUCUACAGGCAGACAAGUUCACCACAGGCCUGGCCCCUCCUGGGAGGGGCAUGAACUUCAAAGACUCUUUUCUGGAACUGGCCUUGCCUGCCUCAUCCACGUGGAAGGAAUUUUGUGAAUGGAGGAGGAACAGUCUGCACACGGCUGCCAGUUGCUCAGAGUCACAUUCCAGUGCUGGGAACAGCAGCUGCCCGGAACUGCAAGUCUUGGAAUCCUUGCAGAGGACAAGAAGAAGCCACAACCCCAGUCAGCUUGUUGCCAAGACACCCCGGGAGAUCUAGACGGGUCAUCCAGCAGACAUUUCUGUUUCUCUCACCACAUUCAGUCAACAUUGUAUCAAGAGACAGUUUAUGUAUCAUCCCUUCCUUUUGGAACUGUGUACAAUCGCUACAACAGUGACU